UCCACAGCCCCAUUCCACCCACUCUUUUUCAGUGUCUCACUAUAAUGCCAUCCUCUAUCUUUCAACACAUCUUUCUCAGCAACACAAACCAGCACUUUCUCACAACCCAAUUUACCCAAUUUCUGAUCCUUAGCCGGGUUUAUAAGCGGGUCGUCGGAUCCACUAGUCGAAGGGCAAGCAAAACGCCACACACCAGCCAUAUACUCUCUUGCAGCUGCAGGAGUAGUUAACUCUUCCCCAACUGGCUCUGUGCCCCAAAAGUAUGGAUGCUCCAAAACAAUCCCAAUCAACUUAACACCAACCAAUCCCUCACACCCCAAUUUCACAGCCAUGUUGUGCGUUAUAUUAGCCCCAGCACUGUUCCCAGCGAAAAACACUCGUUGGAAAUCUGCAAAUCUAUUUAGCCAAUCUUCAGAGCCGUUUCCAUCGGAAUGGGAGGCAACCCAUUUGAGAGCAGCCCAUGAAUCAUCGUAAGCAGCCGGCAGAGGGUGCUCUGGAACAAGUCUGUAGUCAACAGAGACUGCAACAACAUUGGCCUCAGACACUAAGGCGUUGAGGUAGCUGUGAUAUUUUGCAGAAGAUGAACUUCGAACGCAGAAGCCGCCUCCAUGAAAGUAAAUGAGAAGAGGGAGUUUGGUUUGGGGUGCGCUUGUGGUGGUGGAUUUUGGGAUGUAAAGCCUUGCAGAUAUGGCUGGUUCUUGUGAGAUCACAACGUCUUUUGAUUGGACGCCAGUUUUGGGAUCUGUUGAUGGAGGAACUCUGUCUGUGUCAUUGAGUCUUUCAACUCGACCAUCUUUGUAUACUUUAAUCAUCGGAGAGAAAUCAUAGGCUAAUUCUUCGUUGCUCAUGAUUUGAGUUGAACAAGGAAGAGAAGAGAAUAAGAAACAAGCUAUGGAGGCCUCUGUCUCUUCUCUGUUUUUCUUAUGCAGAUAGCAGAGUUCAGUGCAGGAGCAAUUUGUCAAAAAGGACGACAAGACAAGUCCUUUCAGAUAUAUUGAUUUUAAUUUGAAAUAAGUUAUUAAAAAAAUACUACCACCCGACCAUAAUACCAUAGUAUUAUAGAAUUUCUCUUAUCGUAAAAACUCAUCUAAGGGGGUGUAUCCAAUUCUAACUUUUAAAGACAUUUUUUGAGUGAAUGACUUUUCUAGAGUUGACAAAUUCUUAAUGACUUUUACAUACUUUAUAAAGUUAAGUGACAAACUUUCAUAUACUUUUGUCAUAGAGUUUUAUAGACUUUUAAAUACUUAUUUUUAUAUUUAUUUUACAAAUAGCAUUUAUCUUUUAUGUUGAUUGAACUAGUCGGCAUACAUUGAACAAAAAAUUAAGAGGCAACAAAUUAUAUAAUAAAAUAUUGUAUGCAAACAUAGCAUAUGAGACAAUCAAUAUAAUAAAAUAUUUAUAUGCAAACACAGCUUUUUUUACUAAUAGAAGAAAUAUUCAUCAAUCGAGGGAAAGUAAACGUGUGGAUGAGAAGAGAAGAAAAAUAUUCAAUAUUUUUUUACUAACUUGAAGGAAGUGGAUGACAAUGGGAUACCAAAGUGGAGCCCUGACCAUGAAGAAAAAAGAUCUAUCUGCUUGAUGCUUGAUAUAACAAGGGAAGAAAGAAUUGGAGACGUUUGGAGACGUUUUGGUUCUAUCUUCUCAACUUCCCAAUAUUUUCAUAAAAUCUGGUGUAAAUUAGCAAGACUUUUGGUAGUAAGAAUUACCUUUAAAAGUAUUGAAAAGUCAUUUAUUUAACAAAGUUUUUAAAAGUCAUUAAUAUUUUGGAUACCUUAAAACUUUUAAAUACUCUUUAAAGCUCACAAUUGAAUACAACUAAACUUUUAAAGACUAUUUAAAAGUCACAAUUGAAUACCUUCAGACUUUUAAAGUCAUUAAAAGUCAUUAAAAGUUAUAAUUGGAUACACCCCCUAAGUUAAUAUCCCCAUCUCCUUUUUUUUUUAAAUAAUAAAUAAAUAUAAAAGUUAAGAUCCCCAUCAAUUGAAAAUUCUUCUUAAUUAAAACAGUUAUGCCCUAGAGGAAGAAGAGUUCCAAAGACCGCAUGGACCACCAAAAAAAAAAAAAAAAAAAUCCUAUGAGACCUAGAGGGAUUAUUAUUAGCUUUGAGCAAAACUUGUUCAAAGAAAACUGAACAGGGAUUUGAUUCAAAUCUUAAAACAAAAACAAAAUAUAAAAUUGAAGUACUUAUUCACAUGCAUGGUUAUAUAGGUUUAAUACAAUGUGUAGUUUUCUUUUUUACUUGUAUUAUAUUUGUUCCAUAAUGUUAAACACUCUGUAUUUGUUCCAUAAGGUCUGCGUUUAAUAUUCUAAUUAUAUGGUCUAUGGAUCUCUAAUUUAAUUCUUUUCUUCUGGUUCUCGGUUGCUGAGCAGGAUGUGUCGAAGCCAACUCCGAACAUGGAGAAGGGGGCUGUGGAGGUCGUGGAGGGCAAAGAAUCCAUUUGAACAAACCCAUUUCCGAACAUAGAGAGUUUGAGUUUGAGUUUGAGUUACUAUGAUAUGAUCAUACUAUUGCUGCAUAUUAUUGGGGUACAAGUCAUGAAAUGGGACGAAUAUAAUCUCACAUCAAGUGGGUGGGCAACUACCAAUUGCACUGAGGUCUUGGCCAAAGUGAAGGGCCCUACAGGUCUGUUACACAAAACACGUUUUUGCAAGGGCCAUGGAUAGACCCAGCAGGCAUAUUUGACUGAUCGCCUGAGAAUGACUUGUGUGGUUCACCUUCUUAUAAAGUUUGAGUGUUCAAAAUAGCCCCUCUUUUUCUGAUAAACAUAACAAAGUACAAACCAGCAAUCUAUCCAAACCAUUUGAUCUCUCAUGCUUAAUAUUUACAGAAGAAAGAAAACCGACAAGAACACCAAGCAUAAUCAUACUUGUUUGAUCACCCAAUCUUUCAUAUUUCACAUCAGAUGUUUUAUUUAUUUAAGCAAAAACCAUACAUAAAGCAUAAUCCAAGGCAUAAAACAGAUGAAGAAAAGAAGAACCCAACAAAGAAGUACAACCACUAAACUGGCUUAGAGGCUAUGGCCAUAUUACUAAGCACACCAAAGUCUAAGGCAAAUUAUUCUAAUUCAAGAAAGCAACAAUCUUUUUCUCCAGGGCCACAGCAUUGUCACAAGUUGGAUCUUCCAAAUGGAACACAUGCUUCUCCCCAAUUGCUUCUAUGACCUCCACAACCCCUUUCCACCCACUCUUUUUCAGUGUCUCACUAUAAUGCCAUCCUCUAUCUUUCAACACAUCUUUCUCAGCAACACAAACCAGCACUUUCUCACAACCCAAUUCCCCCAACUUCGAAUCCUUACCCGGGUUCAAAAACGGGUCAUCAGUUCCACUAGUCGAAGGGUAAGUAAAACUCCACAAAGCAGAAAUUAACUCUCCUCCAGGUCCAGCUGCAGGGGCAGUUGAUUCUUCCCCAACUGGCUCUGUGCCCCAAAAGUAAGGAUGCACCAACACAAUCCCAAUCAGAUUAACACCAGCCAAUCCCUCACACCCCACUUUCAAAGCCAUGUUGUGUGCUAAAUUACCCCCCGCACUAUCCCCAUAGAAAAACACACGCUGGAAAUCUGCAAAACUGUUUAGCCAAUCUUCAGAGCCGUUUCCAUCAGAAUGGGAAGCAACCCAUUUGAGAGCAGCCCAUGAAUCAUCGUAAGCAGCCGGCAGAGGGUGCUCUGGGGCAAGCCUAUAGUCAACAGAGACUGCAACAACAUUGGCCUCAGAGACUAAGGCGUUGAGGUAGUUGUGAUAUACGGGGGAAGAUGAACUUUCAAUGCAGAAGCCGCCUCCAUGGAAGUAAAUGAGAAGAGGGAGUUUGGUUUGGGGUGAGCUUGUGGCGGCGGAUUUUGGGAUGUAAAGCCUUGCAGAUAUGGCUGGUUCUUGGGAGAUCACAACGUCUUUUGAUUGGACGCCAGUUUUGGGAUCUGUUGAUGGAGGAACUGUGUCUGUGCCUCUGAGUCUUUCAACUCGACCAUCUUUGUAUACUUUAAUCAUCGGAGAGAAAUCAUAGGCUAAUUCUUCGUUGCUCAUGAUUUGAGGUGAACAAGGAAGAGAAGAGAAUAAGAAACAAGCAACUAUGGAGGCCUCUGUCUCUUCUCUGUUUUUCUUAUGCAGAUAGCAGAGUUCAGAGGGGGAGCAAAAUGUAUGGUUAACUUGUGUUGUGAUGAGGACUUGAUGGACUUUUAUGCACCAUUUAAAUUAAUUCUAAAAAAUGCAAAUUGGUUGUUGUUGGACAUUUUUGCCUUCCCUAAAUGCAUCUAGUUUUGGCAAAUAGGACAGACAAGUCCUUUCAGAUAUUUUGAUUUUGACGUAGAGUUAUCGACAAAAUAAUUCUACUUCAUUUAUAUCAUAUCAAGAUUAUAUGAGAUUGUUUGCUAUCGAGUAACAAAUUAACAAACCAAAGUUGAUCUCUCAUAUUUAAUAUUGACUAAAGAAAGGCAAAUGACUCACUAAUGCGGUGGAUUGGAGCAAUUGCUUCCCCAAAAAAUAUUCAAGAUUUGAGUCCUAACAUCCUUGUAUUGUGUGUGAAUUUAGUAUACUUAAUUGACCUAAGAGCUGUUCAAGGGCAUCCUAAAAAAAAAAGAAGUUAUUAUACAUCCCAAUCCUAUCCUUUGAAAAUAAAAAGGUAGCACCGAAAAAAAGAAAAGAGUGAACCGCUGUUUUCACUUUUCCAAUAAUCAGACAACAGAACUCUUCUUUCAUGUAUAUCAUACCACCUUGUUUUUGGGUGGAACACGCUUAAACUAUGUGUAUAAGGAGGGCAACUGGAAUCUUAACACACUUAAACUAUGUGCAUAAGGAGGGCAACUGGGAAUCUUGCAAGAGCAACUCAUUUGAUUUAGGUGGCAAUUGAUGAUGUGGCUGCCGGUGAGGUGAGGAGGGGAGGUUGGUUUGGUUGUCAUGGGGUCGGGUGGGUAGUCUGGAGGUUGUUUGCUAGGCUUUUUUAUUUAUUUAUUCUAAUUUUCUGUUUCUAUUUUUACUUUUAUUUUUUGACUUAACAGUGUUAAUUUAGAGUUAAGUUCUUAAAAUUCAUUUUACAACGGGGAAAAUUUGCCUUUAAAAGUUUGAAGAUAAGUGGGUAGGAAAAUAGAAUAAGGGGGUGGGAAUAGCAGCAUUCUUAUUUUAACCCAACAAAUUUUCCCCUUUUCUUGAGUUAUUUUAUUUUAAAAAUUAAAUCAAAACAAUAGAAACUAAAAAGGCACAUACGUUCUUAUGCCCAAAAAAAAAAAAAAGGAGUCCCUUCAAUCGAAUUUACAGAUUCUUGAUUAUCCACAAUUCGGGUGCUCAUAUUUGAUUAUCCAAGAGUGCACUGCGCCACAAUUGCAUGCUUCCUCCGUUGUGUUCAAGCGAAAGAUAGGUAAAUAAACUUCCUCAGCAGCACACCAAAACAAAUUCAUGGCUGAUGUUGUUAAACACUCUGUAUUGACAUGUGACAGUUUGGCAUCUUAUUAUGCAGAACUUGAACAAUUUCACUUUACAUCCAGUAGUAGGUAUGAAAUCUUUGAAACAAACCUACCCUAAAUUAGGCAUAAAUGCAUUUCUUGAUUUUGCAGGACAAAAAAAAAGUUCCAUAUUUAACAUCAGAAUGUUUUAUUCAACCAAGAAACGUAUAUAAAACAUACAACAAUGGAAAACCACAAAUCUCUAACUACACCCAAGUUUCAGGCAAAUUAUUCUAAUUCAAGAAAGCAACAAUCUUUUUCUCCAUGGCCACAGCAUUGUCGCAAGUGGGAUUGAUCCAAUGGAACACAUGCCCCUCCCCCUCUGCUUCUAUGACCUCCACAUCCCCAUUCCACCCGCUCCUUUUCAGUGUCUCACUGUAAUGCCAUCCUCUAUCUUUCAACACAUCUUUCUCAGCAACAAAAACCAGCACUUUCACACAACCCAAUUGCUACAAUUUUGGAUCCUUACCCGGGUUUAAAACCGGGUCGUCGGAUCCACUAGUCGAAGGGCAAGCAAAACGCCACACAGCAGCCAUAAACUCUCUUGCAUCUGCAGGAGUAGUUAACUCUGCCCCAACUGGCUCUGUGCCCCAAAAGUACGGAUGCACCAAAACAAUCCCAAUCAACUUAACACCAACCAAUCUCACACACCCCGAUUUCACAGCCAUGUUGUGUGUUAUAUUAGCCCCAGCGAAAAACACACGCUGGAAAUCUGCAAAUCUAUUUAGCCAAUCUUCAGAGCCGUUUCCAUCAGAAUGGGAAGCAAGCAACCCAUUUGAGAGCAGCCCAUGAAUCAUCAUAUGCAGCUGGCAGAGGGUGCUCUAGGGCAAGCCUAUAGUCAACAGAGACAGCUACAACAUUGGCCUCAGAGACUAAGGCGUUGAGGUAGCUGUGAUAUGUUGAAGAAGAUGAACUUCCAAUGCAGAAGCCGCCUCCAUGAAAGUAAAUGAGAAGAGGGAGUUUGGUUUGGGGUGCGCUUGUGGUGGUGGUGGCGGUGGUUGAUUUUGGGAUGUAAAGCCUUGCAGAUAUGGCUGGUUCUUGUGAGAUCACAACGUCUUUUGAUUGGACGCCAGUUUUGGGAUCUGUUGAUGGAGGAACUAUGUCUGUGUCUUUGAGUCUUUCAACUCGACCAUCUUUGUAUACUUUAAUUAUUGGAGAGAAAUCAUAGGCUAAUUCUUCGUUGCCCAUGACUUGGGUUGAAGAAGGAAGAGAAUAGAAUAAGAACAAAGAACUAUGGAGGCCUCUCUCCCUUCUCUGUCUUUCUUAUGCCGAUAUCAGAGUGCAGAGUAGGAGCAAAAUUGAUUAAUAGGUCGUUGACUUGGUUGUUGUUGGACAUUUUUGCCUUCCUUCGGGUCAGGUUUCGUAGUCAUAGGGUUGGAUCCACUGGUAACUGAUUUGGUCAACAAGUCACUCAUUUCAUUUGUAUCAUUGGUUAAGGGAGUAGGUUUGAUUGUUAGAAGGGUAGGUUGGGAGGUCAACAGGCCAUGUUAAGAGAAAUAUUUGCUAACACUACUUUGUUAUACCCAUCCAAUCAUGACAUAUCAUACAUGAUAAAUUUUUCACGUGACAAUCUAUGAUUGGUUAGUAAUAACGAAACAGUGUUAUACAAGUUUUUCUACAAAUCCAAAGUCCAUGAAGAAGGGGGUGGGGACACGAACACACACAUGUGGGUAUUAAUGCCAUGUGUGCGAGUCCGUCAGUGAUUGUAGGGUGGUCAAGGGGUAAUAGGAUGGUCCCUUUACUUAGGGUGGCGAAACCCUUAUCAUAAUUUCAAUUUUAACUUAGUUCAGUUAUAAUGGAAAUUUGAAGAAACAGAUACUUAUGUGGAAUUUGGAAAUGGAAUUUUUCUCGUGGUCAAUUUGUGAAAGUGCAUGUUAUGAGUAUGUAGCAUUUUCGAUCAAUUUUUUUGUCAAUUUUGGGUUUUGAGGUUUCGAGGUCUCAAGGCCAGUCCAAGGGUCUGAAGAUUGAGUUUAUGACCAAACAUCAUAGUCGAACGACUGGGUCCAAGUUAGAAGGUUCCAUAUAUCGGGUUUUAGGACUGAGUUCGAGUUAUGUGUGAUAAUUUAGAAUUUUUUUUAUUUUUUUGGUCAAAUGAUGAUUUAGAAUUGGUGGAUAUGAAAGGAGGGUAAAAAAAAAAUAAAACCAAAACUAAAAAAUGACCUUUUUAGGAUUUUUUUAAAAUUCACCAAUAUUCACGUAAUUUAGUGUAUUGCUAAGUAAUGUAAUUGGAUUCGUCCAAGUUUUUAGUGUGCUCACAAAUGAUCUUGAGUUCAAGUCCCAUAGUACACUAAUAAUUAAUAUUUAUAAAAAAAUCUGGAAUCUAAAAUUGCCUCCUAAAAUUAAAAAAAUUACUUUGAUUUUUGUAAAAAAUAAAAAAGAUUAAAUACUCGUGAUCGACUUAGAAGCUUUUCUAAUUUACCUAAUAUUUGUCCCUUUUGUCAACAACAUCCUGAAACUUGUAAUCAUUUAUUUGCUAAUUGGUCCUAUACUUCACAACUUUUGGAAUCAACUUUCUCCUUUAGGCCUUAAAGCACCUACUAAUAAUCAUGACAGUAUUGAUUAGCUUUGCUCAAAUUGGUCUAAUUUUUCUUCUCUUCUUUAAAACAAAAAAAAAACAAAACAAAACUCAACCGUAUUCACUUUUUUGGUCUUCAAAACAAAACUCACCCAUAUUUUUCAAAAUGAAGACAUAACCGUACUUAAUAUUUUACAGAAGAAAGAAAACCAACACAAAACAUAUUCAUACUUGUUUGAUCAUCCAAUGCUAAACACUCUGUAUUGACAUGUGAAGUGGCAUACACUAGAUCACUACUAAAUUUAAUUACAGUUUGGUAUUUUUCUGACCUCGAAUGGAUUGCUUUGUUGACAUAUUAUUUAUGCAGUAAUAGGUAUAAAGUCUUUGAAACAGAAGCUUUUAUUUCAACCAGGAAACAUACAAGGGAUGAAAUCAUGAAACAGAUGAAGAAAAGAAACCAAAACCACAAACCUAGCUUAAAGGGUAUUGUCAUAUUACUAAGUACACCCAAGUUUCGGAAAAAAAAAAAAAAAAUUCUAGUUCAAGAAAGAAACAAUCUUUUUCUCCAAGGCCACAGCGUUGUCGCAAAUUGGAUUGAACAAAUGGAACACAUGGCCCUCCCCCUUUGCUUCUAUGACCUCCACAGCACCAUUCCACCCACUCUUUUUCAGUAUCUCACUAUAAUGCCAUCCUCUAUCUUUCAACACAUCUUUCUCAGCAACACAAACCAGCACUUUCUCACAACCCAAUUUACCCAAUUUCUGAUCCUUAGCCGGGUUUAUAAGAGGGUCGUCGGAUCCACUAGUCGAAGGGCAAGCAAAACGCCACACACCAACCAUAUAAUCUCUUGCAGCUGCCGGAGUAGUUAACUCAUCCCCAACUGGCUCUGUGCCCCAAAAGUAAGGAUGCACCAAAACAAUCCCAACCAGCUUAACACCAACCAAUCUCUCACACCCCAAUUUCACAGCCAUGUUGUGUGUUAUAUUAGCACCAGCGCUGUCCCCAGCGAAAAACACACGCUGGAAAUCUGCAAAUCUAUUUAGCCAAUCUUCAGAGCCGUUUCCAUCAAAAUGGGAAGCAACCCAUUUGAUAGCAGCCCAUGAAUCAUUGUAAGCAGCUGGCAGAGGGUGCUCUGGGGCAAGCCUGAAGUCCACCGAGACGGCAACAACAUUGGCCUCAGAGACUAAGGUGUUGACGUAGCUGUGAUAUGCUGGAGAAGAUGAACUUUCAAUGCAGAAGCCGCCUCCAUGAAAGUAAAUGAGAAGAGGGAGUUUGGUUUGGGGUGAGUGUGUGCUGGUUUUGGGGAUGAAAAUUCUUGCAGAUAUGGCUGGUUCUUGUGAGAUCACAACGUCCUUCGAUUGGACGCCAUUUUCUGGAUGUGUUGAUGGAGGAACUCUUUCUGUGCCCAUGAGUCUCUCAACUCGACCAUCUUUGUAUACUUUAAUCAUUGGAGAGAAAUCAUGGGCUAAGUCUUCGUUGCUCAUGGUUCGGACUGGAGAAGGAAGAGAAGAAAAUAACACCUAACAACUAUGGAGGCCUCUCUCUCUCUUUCUUAUGCAGAGUAGAAGCAAAAUUUGUUUUGUGUUUAUGCUGGCGCCUUGGUGGGUUUUAAUAGAGAAAUUUUUUAUGGUGCUGAAAACGCUCCCACUGUAAAACCCGUCCACGUUUUAUGAUACAGGGAAUGGGUUUCUCGCAUUACACAACAUUAUUAACGUGUUAUGGGGGUUCCAACAGUUAAAGGUUUUUCCACUCGAUUAGACAUGUCUGCUAAUAUUUCCAACUUUUAAGAUAAGAGUAUCAAUAAAUAUUCUUUAUAUUAUAAUAGACGAACGAAUUAUACCUUGUGAUUAUAUUUCAACACCACAUUAUAAUUACUCAUUUUUCUAUGAGAACUUUCAAAUUAAUUCUAAUAAAAACAAAUUAGUUGUUGGACAUUUUUGCCUGCGUAUGAAAUUCCAUGCUUCUAGUUUUGGCAAAGAGAACGGCAGAUAAGUUAUUUUAUAUAUUUAAUUUUGUCUUCGUUUUAUUUAGGACGCCAAAGAAUUUCAAUGGCCACUGCCCAAACUGUCUAGAUUCACAUCUAAAUUUUAAAAUAAAAUAAAAAAAUAAAAAAUCGUUUUAUUUUGUUUUCCGUGUUUAUGCAUGCUACUUGUCUUAUAGGCGGCUCCAAACUCUACUUUUCUCGUCUUCUUUUUCAUGCUAUUUUGAUUUCGUCUGCGACAUCUUUUUCCUCUAUUUUUUUUUAUUAAUAUUUUUCCUGUAAUCUAGUCUUACUAGACUGAUUAAAUAAGAAUUUGGUCCUUUUCAUUAGUUUUUUGUUUACAUUAUCACUUAUCAAAUGUUCGAAAGUUAUCAUCCAUUGUUUUAAGAAAGCUAAGUUAACAUUAUUAGUGUAUCAACAGAACAAUAAUACAUAAUUCAUGUCAAAUCAAGACUACUACAUCGAGAUAAUAUUGAUAUAAUGAGGUUGCUUGCUACAAUAACAGGGUUAUUAGAGAGCAUUUACUCUCCUUGAAAAAAAGAAAAAAAGAAAGAAAGAGCAUUUACUCCGAUAAGAGACGAGAUAAAAUUGCGUCCUCUCGAUAAGCGUAGCAUACAUCAUGCAUGAGUCAUGAUGCUAGAAUUUUUCUGCUCUGCAUGUGAAUGAAACUUUUCUCAUCCUCAGUUGCGAAAUUUGAAUUGAACACCUGCGGCUAAUGUUCAUCAAGAAAGGUUUCUAAUUGUUAACCCGUGGACUAUUCGCAUCCAAAAAAGGACCAGUGCAAUUUAAAAUAUGGCAAAGCAAUUGAAAAUGGAACCCAGCAGUGCAUUUUAUACUUUAAGUUGGUCCAUGGAUGAUCAGAUAUUUUCCUUAAAAAGAAAAUACUCCCUACUUGAAACGUGUAAGCAAUUGUAUGUAUGUAUGAUGAUGACACCACAUAACAUAUUACAGAUCUGUUCAUAACAUAUUCUUUAUUAUAUUUUAAGUGAACUCGUAAUAUCAUCACGUGUUAUAAUUUAAGUAAAUUUAUAACGCUAUAUGACCGUUAUAAUGCAAUAAGUGGUAUGUGACCCAAAAAUAAAAAAGAAAUGUUGAAUGGUACAAAUGCAGAAAAGUCAGUUACUAUGUAUGUAGUUGUCGAAAUAUUGACUGGUACACAAGAAGAAUAAUUAAUUUUAUCCAUAACACCAGUGAUCAGAAGAUAGGCUAAGAUGUGAGUUGCGGCCCUUGUGCGGUUUUGCCUCCUAUCUUUUCUGUAUUGCGUAACCAGCUGUUUUUGUUUGUUUAUUGGGACUUGGGAGGUAUAUAUUUGGAGUUUCAAAGUGACCGACACAAGAGCACAUAAUGUUGAAAAUGAGCAAGAAGGAUAGAAUUGUUAUAAAUCAAGAGGAAUUGGAGAGAAUUGAGAUAGAGAGAAAUUGAUCUUUUAUUGAAUAUCUGUGUUCUCAAAUCUGUGUAUUCUCUAAGUAGAGGGGGAGGGGGAUGCCAUAUUUAUAGGCAAGUAGAGGUGGGCUCCACAUUAUAAUUUACAACACUCCCCCUUGGAGACCACAAAUGAUACGGAAUAUGUCUCGUUAAAAACCUUGCCAGUAAAAACCCAGUGGGACAAAAAACUGGUCAAAGGGAAAAAGAGUACAUAAUCAUGUGUAACAUAAAAUUCUAUGUAUAUUGACGCGCGUGCGACACUGUCUCGUUAAAACCUUGCCAGGAAAAACCCAGUGGGAUAAAAACCUGGACGAAGGAAAAAGAGUACAGUGUUUGAAGAUCUUUAUUGAUAGCGCGCUCCCCCUGAUGCUUGGCAAAAAUAUCUUUUAAGUCAUACUGUUGAUCAACUUUCUGAAUAUCGUAGUUGACACUGCUUCUGUGAGUCAAUCUUGAGCGACACUGCCUCGUUAAAACCUUACCAGAAAAAACCCAGUGGGAUAAAAACCUGGAUGAAGGAAAAAGAGUACAGUGUAUGGAGGUCUUUAUGAAAACCACGCUCCCCCUGAAAAAUUUAUGACUAGCCAUCCCAAAGUGGUGGUGAUGGAACUGAGCUCUAUCUGGUCUAGUAUACUUCCGGAAAAACAUUUAAGGACCAACGGAUAAUCCUCAUAAAAAUGCUUCAAUACUUUCUUAGUAUAAGCAAGAAUCUCGUUGGCACAAUGCUCGAUCCUUAAGUCGAGACAAAUAUUUCGUGAAUUCUGCAGAAGCUUUAAUGUGUUGCAAUCACAUUAUAAUCAAUGUACUCACUGAGGUAAUUUAUGCAUAUUAAUAUUGAGUACAAAUUUUGUGCUUCAAGCACAUGUCCUUUAGGGACUUGCUUUAUGCAAUGUCAAUCCUCUCAACGGAUUUUGUCUAAAAGGGAUUAAACUUUAUGACACAUUAUAUAGCUUUUACCCAGCUAUUUAUACAUCUUUAGGAAAUCGCUUCUGGCGAUAUGCUCCGUGCAUUUAAUAAUCCUUAAAGAUAAUAUGUUGGUCUCCGUAAUUGUGUAAUAAGGGGGGCACAAUUGAAUCUGUAAAUAUGGAGAAAAACCCAACAUUCCUUGUUUCUGCCAGAAACAGUGUGUCAUACAAAGUAGGUAUAUUCCCUUUUAUUCUGAACACCCAAGUAUAAAUUUCAGUAUUAACAUCUUUUGGGGUUCGUAUUGUGGGUUUGUUCUUUCACGUUCAUUCUCAUCUAUAAUGGAAUUACCUCAUUCCAUUUUGGCCAAUGAUAUUGUCGACAUUUAAUAAUUAAACGUGGUUCCAAUUAACACAGCCCAUUGAUGAUUUGAGUAGCUACUCCAAAAUCAAAAAUUGUCAUUCAUCAAUUCAUGAUCCCACCAUUCUCAUGUGCAUGCGCAUGCAUCAAUUAUAAGUAUUUAUUUGCCUUUGGGUACCCAAGCCACUUCAUGGGGCUUUAAUUAUGUGAGAAUGUGGAUUAUAACCUCCAUUGGAGCGUUAUUUAGCAGUAGGGCGUGGAUAAUCUCCAUUUAGGGAGUUGGAACAUUUAGAACCCAUAUAUCUGUCAUGCUGAAGGCAUGCCACAGAUUAAUACAUUCAUGUCAAUUAAUUGCUGGGACCUUAACCCAUAUUAUGGGACUUUAACCCAUAUAAUUUGCUACGCAUUAGGCGUGCACAAUAUCAAUAUUGACAUGUCAAAGGAUUGUCCUUUCGGGACUUCAAUCCACAUCAUUUGCUACGCAACAGGCGUGCAUCAUAUUGAUCACUGCUAUACCCAUAUUCUGUUCUUAUGGGACUUUUAAUCUGUGCAGUGUAUUAUCAAUGUAUCCAACUUGCAAUCUGUAAAAUUUGCAUUAAUAAUUCAUGGAUACAUACAAGCCAUUCUUUUGGAACAGACUUAUCUCCCCAUUUGAUUACCUUUCAAGAUAAAAUAUCAAAUAAGUGUAUAAGCAUAUAAUAACACAAGUAUUGCUUACAUCCUUAGGGGGGAGAAACUUUUCUCAAGUAUCAUUCAAGCUCGUAUCGGCCCAGUAAAUAUAAUGUAGCGCUUGAUGAUCUAGUUAUAUCCUGCAAGAGCAAAAACACAACUCUUUUCUCUGUCAAAAACAAAUAAUCCUCAGAGAGUUACAAAAAGAGAAAAAAUGCAAAAAAAAUUGUGAUAUUGAUUGCAAGAGAUGGUAAGCAAUCAGGGAAGGAAGCUGGUGGGAGCAGACAACAAGCUCAGCAAUCAAGGAAGGAAGCUGGUGGGAGCAAACAACCAGCUCUCAUUUCUUCUAGUCUAGAAGAACUUCCGGAGAUUAGAGCAUAAGGUUGCCUUCACAGUUCCCUGAUGUAGCGGAAACGUGAUCAGGGAUAGUCUCGCUUCCUGAAUGGAUGAUCAGAGAUAGUCUUGCUUCUCGAGCAUAUUAAGUGCUCACUGAUAAGAAAAACAAGUAGAUAUCGCAUCCCUAGGUAUGGAGAAAACUGGAUGUCUUCUGCAAAGAGAAUUUCGUUAGUAACACAUUUAUACACAAAUACAAUGAAUAGAUAGAACCGGUGAAUUUCAAAUUAACCAUAGGAAAAAUUGCGAGAUUCUCGGGAUACUUUUGAAAAAAUAGCUCCGUGAAAUCCGUAAAGCAAGAUCGGCUUUUGACGAAAAUAAUACUUUGAAAACGCCGAAAGUGCCGACAAACAUUAAUGGAGGCCACGUGAAGUUUUGGAAUCUGGGAAAGAAAAAAGAGGAUAUGGGGAUCCGAGAAGAUAUUGGGAUCCUGAAAAACUGUAGCCAUAUUUCCUCCUAUAGAUAUUGCCUUUGCAAAACUUGAUUGGAGCAACUGCGUUUCAACUUAACUUCCUUCAUUUUCUGAAACUUUAGCUUUCUUAAGACUUUCUUCGAAACCUUCUUAAAAAUGGCUUCCUAUUCUUCCUGCCCAAAUUAUUUCAAUUUAAAUGAUACUCCCACAACAACCAGUGACGCCCAAGUUUGGCGUCCAUCCUUUGUAUCCAAAAAUCGUCAUCUCACAGUUAAUGAUUCUGUGAUGAUGAAUGAUGCUACUGCUGUCAUAGUAGCUAGGAAUUUCAUUACUCCAAUGGAUGAAAUGCUGUUAACAGGGAGAUCAGAGAAAGAGGCUAUUGAUGACUCAAUGGAUUUUAGCAUUCAGAGUGCUGCUUCUGUUUCUAACAUGGCUGAUCGUUUGCGUGCUAGAGCAAACGAGGUUCAGAUUUUAACAACUGAAAAUUCGUCUCUCCAAAGAAUGCUUCAUGAGUCUCAACAGGAGGUUGAGAAACUUAAAGGAGAGAAUAAUGCCUUGUUGAAACUGGUGAGUUCAUACUCUGUUGAUACACUGAGAAGGCUAGACAUGCUGCAGGUCUCUAAUGAAAGAAUUUUGGGAGACCGUGAGAGGCUCAUGGCUAAGCUUAAGAGGCGUCGUCCUCUUCUUUCAGAGGCUUCCAGAACAUAAUGUAUUUUUAUAGAUUUUACAGGGCCUGCACCUUCAUUGCAGGAAAAAAUCUAUCUGUUGUAUGUUCCUGUUAUAAUAAUUGCGCACAUUCUUAAACUUGCACCUGUGGUUUUUACGUCUUUUCAAAUUGACGGUUUGGAACUUUGUGCCUUAUAGGUUCAAAUAACCACAUCGACUCUCCCAAAUUUCAUAUUUCAACGUAUGGAACUUUUGGCCUGGGCUAAACACAAACUCAGAAUUUAUUCGCCCUUUUUCAAAUGAACAUGAAAUAUGGAUUGAGUAAAGGCCACGCUAAUAUCUCAUAUAAUUGAGUUCAUGAGCUUCCGGCCCAGAUAUAACAAAAUAUGAGGGGAGCCUCAAUUCAUCAUUCUCUUAUGCCAAAGAAAUAUGUGGCGUACCACAAUUUGCAAUAAUACCUCAAGGGUUGUCCAUUUAAUUGUUGGAACUUUAGGUUCUCAAUACUUUUAGAUUUUGAACUUCAGGCCAAAAUCACAUAUUCUCAUGGUAUGGAUAUUCAAUCCCCUUAGAUUUUGAACUUCGGGCCAAAAUCACAUAUUCUCAUGGUAUGGACAUUUUUACAAUUUUCUGUACAUAUUUCGGGACUUCAAGCCCUUACAUAAUUGUCCAUAUUUUGAGGAACUUCUGGCAUCUCAUUUAAUUGCUCAUCCAUGAGUUUAAGGAACUGUAGGUUCCCUUUUUGAAUAUAGUGAUAGUUUACCCAAAAUGGUAAAUAUUUAUGCAUACAUCACUAUUCAUGUAUACGGCACUAUUCAUGUGUACAGUACAUUUUCCAGUACAGUUAUCAUCCAUGUGUACGGCAUUAUGAACCAAAACGGUACUGUUACAUCAUUAAGGAACCCCAGGUCCUUAUGUACAUGUCAAGGAUCAAGGACCCUCAAGUCCAGUCACAUGUUUACAAAUAUAGUACCGGAGAGACUGCCAGCUUUCAUAUUAACAUCAUCAUCAAGGAUCUUCAAGUCCUGAUGUAAUUGUAUGAUGAGGAUCAAGGAACUUCUGGUCCUGAUCUGCAUACUGUAAAAAAACUCAUCAUACAACACAUUUAAUCCAUAAAAUAAAUUGCUGGUAAAUAAAUUACUGGUAUGGACGAUAAACCCGCACCAUACUUUAAAUAAAAGGAAAUAUAAAGUAUGAGGGUUAAUUCCACAUCAUACUUUUAAUAAAAGUAAAUGUGCAGUAAAGUAAAUUCAUAAAGUAUGAGGGUUAAUUCCACAUCAUACUUUUAAUAAAAGUAAAUGUGCAGUAAAGUAAAUUCAUAAAGUAUGAGGGUUAAUUCCACAUCAUACUUUUAAUAAAAGUAAAUGUACAGUAAAGUAAAUUCAUAAAGUAUGAGGGUUAAUUCCACAUCAUACUUUAAGUAAAAGUAAAUUUACGAUAAAGUAAACAUGCUUGUAUGGGCACUAAUUCUGCUCCAUACAUUUAAAUAAAAAUAAAGGCGUGGACGAUAAACCCGCACCACCAUUUAAAUAAAUACUGUUGUAUGGGUAAUAAACCUACACCAUACAGUAAAUAAAAUAAAUGUGCGGUAAAUUAAAUUUCAUAAAGUAUGAGGGUCAAUUCCACAUCAUACUUUAAAUAAAAGUAAAUUUGCGAUAAAGUAAAGGCAAUUAUUGGUGGGUUCUCAACAACACCACGAUCAAAUAGUGUAAUAUUGUUAUACUGAUAUAUUAGUGAAAGUUAGAUAUAUCACGUUGGCUUUUCUUCUUUCCACCUGCAAUCUACACUGGUCAUGAGUAUUAAAUUCUGUAGGUAUUUUAAUAAUGUAUUUAAUUGAAGGAAAUAGAGUGAGGCAGAGUACUUAUCCCUUUGUUUCGGUGGGUGUUCAUAUCCCUGGCAAUAAUUCAUUGCUUUCCACUAGGCUGAUCGACUUGCUGUGUAUCCCACUUUUCAAUAAAGCUCACUUUUUAGGCAUGCUUGCUACGUCUCCAGUACUUUGCAUCAAAUCAACACCGGCCUUUCAACACCUUUUAGUGGCUUACUUUUUGACCAUACUUCCUCCAUCGAUAUCCAUUUGCUGGUAGUGGAGACUUAAUGUAAAGGUGUUGUCGAUGACGGUGAUCUUGGGUUUGCAGCUUUGAAUCUGAGAGACGGCAGCAUAACGAGCCAAACCCCAGGCUGCUUCCUUCACAACCAAUUCAGAUUGGCCAUUUGGAAUGCUAAUAACGGUUCGUCAUUUUGCAAAACGAGCACCCUGUUGGUAAUAAGCAGCAGAGCGAGAGGCAAGGCCAUCAAGACCUUGGCACCAUGACUCGUUGUUUGAUCCGGCCAAAGGAACUAGACCCUCGUCGACCUUAAUGCCGGGGACAAUGUUCUGCUCAACAAGCACAUCAGCAAUUUUCCUGCCAUCAGUUGUGGCCCUAGUCUCUGGAAAUGUGAAAAGUGUUUGAUCUUGAAAAGCUUCCGGCUCCGCGAAGUGGAUCAGAAGGCAAAUGGCGCCGCCCAUGGACUCGCCGUAGAGAAAACAGGGGACGUUUAGAAAUUGGGUUUCUUGCUGCUUGACCAGGGUGAAGAAAGCGAGGCAGUCUUGGACCAAGAGAUGGACAUCGGGGACGAAGGCCCUGAGGCCGUGGGAUUGGCCGUGGCCUUCGAGGUCGAGAGCGAAGCAGGCGAAACCCUGUUGGGCGAGGAAAAUUGGGGUGGCUUGGAAGGUCCAGCUGAUGUCGUUGCCGUAGCCGUGGACCAUGAAGAUGAGGCCACGUGGAGGGGAGAGAAGGGGCAGCCAUUGCCGGGUGAAGAGCUUGAGGCCUCUGGGUGAGGUGUAGAAGGAUUUGGAGGCUUUGAUGCCUUGGAGACUGUAGUAUUCUUGCUCUGGGGUGUUGCCCCAGUAGUGCAGAAGUUGGCCCGAUUGGGUUUGGGUGGAGAGGAGGCUUUCUUCUUCCUUCAUUCUGGGAAGUGGCUGUUUUGUUUGCUGUGCUUCAUGAUUCGCGGCUCUCACUUAGAAUUGGAAGAAGCUGAUGACUCGACCAGAUGGAUGGAUGAAGGAUGACUUUUUUUGUUGUCUUGAUGUUGAUGAACCGGGUUUUGAGGCAGCAAUGUUUGAUGAAUAUUUCAUCUGGGAAUCGAUCAAUCCGUAAAUCCAAACCGGUAGCUGCUGAUUAGCACUGCAGUGAUCCGGUUUUCGAUUAUCUAAGUUUGGAUUUUGAACUGCUACGGAAGGGGCAGAGGGGUGUUUGGUUUUAGGUGUAAUUAGUCAACGAGGUGUCUGAGUCUUUUUACUCUCUUCUUCUCUGGGAUUUCAAGAGAGAGAGAGCAGAGGGAGUGGUCUGGUACAGAAAAAAUUGGGUUUUUCUGACUGGGUUUCAUCAUAAAAUUCAGCUGGUAUUGUUUGAACGAAAUCGUGCUGAUAACGUGUUAUAAAUCAAGAGGAAUUGGAGAGAAUUGAGAUAGAGAGAAGCUGAUCUCUUAUUGAAUAUCUGUGUUCUCAAAUCUGUGUAUUCUCUAAGUAGAGGGGGAGGGGGAUGCCAUAUUUAUAGGCAAGUAGAGGUGGGCUCCACAUUAUAAUUUACAACAAGAAUGAGGGGUUAUUGCGAGGGGUUAUAAUGAAAGGGUUCUUAAUAGGAUAUAGAGUUAUUAUUGGACUAUUAGAUUGAACCUCCUCAUUGUAUACUACCAAAAUAGCCUCGUUAUAGAAGCUCCCUAAAAUGAGAUCGAAUAGACUGGAUUGUUGGCAUCCAAGCCUCUUAGGACGAUGAUUGAUUUAUAGAUUCAUUAGGUCCCUCAAAUGCAAAUGUCGAACAUUAAAUUUGAAUUUGAUAACUUACAUUUUAUUUGAUAUGUCAAAUUAAAAUAUUAUUUUAUUAUAUAUUGUUUAUUGGUGUACAAUCAAGACACAUUAAAAUAAUAAUACGAUAAUGAAAUAACAUAACAAAGUGAAACAGUCAAAAAUAACAGCAAGAGAGAGAUGUUAUUUCACUUAGGAUUUAAUUUCACUUUGGACACUUUAUCAUCAAGGCCACAGCGUUGGAGUGAGAAAGUGCCACUUUAUCAUCUCCCUUAGAAAAGAAACAGAUGAAGGGAUGAGUUCUUAUUGAAUCAAACUUGUUUCUCGCAAAAAAAGAAAAGAAAAGAAGGGAUGAAAUCAUGAAACAGAUGAAGAAAAGAAACCGAAACUUAGUAUACCAAAGUUUCAGAGAAAUUAUUUUAGUUCAAGAAAGAAACAAUCUUUUUCUUCAAGGCCACAGCGUUGUCACAAAUUGGAUUGAACAAAUGGAACACAUGGCCCUCCCCUUUUGCUUCUAUGACCUCCACAGCACCAUUCCACCCACUCUUUUUCAGUAUCUCACUAUAAUGCCAUCCUCUAUCUUUCAAACCAUCUUUCUCAGCAACACAAACCAGCACUUUCUCACAACCCAAUUUCCCCAAUUUCGGAUCCUUUGCCGGGUUUAAAAGCGGGUCGUCGGAUCCAAUAGUCGAAGGGCAAGCAAAACGCCACACAGCAGCCAUAUACUCUUUUGUAGCUGCAGGUGUAGUUAACUCUGCCCCAACUGGCUCUGUGCCCCAAAAGUAAGGAUGCACCAAAACAAUCCCAACCAGCUUAACACCAACCAAUCUCUCACACCCCAAUUUCACAGCCAUGUUGUGUGUUAUAUUAGCACCAGCGCUGUCCCCCGCGAAAAACACACGCUGGAAAUCUGCAAAUCUAUUUAGCCAAUCUUCAGAGCCGUUUCCAUCAAAAUGGGAAGCAACCCAUUUGAUAGCAGCCCAUGAAUCAUUGUAAGCAGCCGGCAGAGGGUGCUCUGGGACAAGCCUAUAGUCAACAGAGACUGCAACAACAUUGGCCUCAGAGACUAAGGUGUUGACGUAGCUGUGAUAUGCUGGAGAAAAUGGACUUUCAAUGCUGAAUCCUCCUCCAUGAAAGUAAAUGAGAAGAGGGAGUUUGGUUUGGGGUGAGUCUGUGGUGGUUUUGGGGAUGAAAAUUCUUGCAGAUAUGGCUGGUUCUUGCGAGAUCACAACGUCCUUCGAUUGGACGCCAUUUUCUGGAUUUGUUGAUGGCGGAACUCUGUCUGUUCCUGCGAGUCUCUCAACUCGACCAUCUUUGUAUACUUUAAUCAUUGGAGAGAAAUCAUGGGCUAAGUCUUCGUUGCUCAUGGUUUGGACUGGAGAAGGAAGAGAAGAAAAUAACAAGAAGCAACUGUGGAGGCCUCUCUCUCUCUCUUUUUCUUAUGCAGACAGCAGAGUAGAACCAAAAGUUCUAUUUAUGCUGGAGUCUUGGUGUUUCUAUUUAUGGUAGCCAAGACGCAGAAGCGGUAUAACCCGCAUUUAAGGUAGAGUGUGACGGCGUCGGUGAUCCAAUACCACAUAAUAAUUAUUUCUUUUUAUGGAACCUUCAAAUUAAUUCUAAUAAAACAAAUUGGUUGCUCUUGUUGACAUUUUUGCCUUCGUAUAUGCACGCAUCUAGGUUUUGGAGGCAGGUAAGUAUUUUAAUAUAUUUGAUUUUGAGGUCUUAGUUUUAUUUAGGACGCCAAAGAAUUUCAGUAGCCAAACUGUCUAAGUUCACAUCUAAAUUCGAAGUCUUCUCUUUUUUUUAACGAGAUUUGUUUUCCGUGCUAAUGCAUGUGCUACUUCUCUCAACAUUACUUUUCCCGUCGUCCUUUUCACGCUAUAUUGAUUUCAUUUGCAAAGUCUUUUUAUCUAAUUUCGUCUUGAGAAAUGCUAGCAAAUUUCUCUCUAACCUUUUUCUUUGGAUCUUUUCUCUUUUUUGCUUGACAUGUGUCAUUCUCCUUACACUUAAAACAAUGUUAUUAAUAUAUUAUACAAGUUAACUUUUGUUUUCCAACUUUACCCUUAUUAAAUUUAUUCAGAAAAAUUUCACAACUUUCUUACCAUUUUUUUUUUAACAUCAAUUAUUUUUUUCAAGAAAAUGUCUAAUUUUUUCAAAAAAGAGGAAAUGCCCUUUUUUUUAAAACACAAAGGACAUUUUUUUCCCCCUAUAUAAACCCUUUGUGUUAAAAUUUUUAUAAAAAAUCCAAGACAUUUCCUCUUUAAAGCAUAUAUUUUCUUUAAAAAAAUAAUUUAUGUUAGAAAAAAAAUAAUAAGAUGGUAAGAAAGUUGUGAAAUUUUUUUGGAUAAAUUGAAUACAUUUAAUAAGGGUAAACUUGGAAAGCAAAAGUUAGCUUGUAUAAUAUAUUAAUGACAUUGUUUUAAGUGUAAGGAGAAUGACACAUGUCAAGCAAAAAAGAGAGAAGGUCUAAAGGAGAAGGUUGCUAGUAUUCCUCUUUAGUCUUACGAAAUUGAUUAAAUAAGAAUCUAGUCCUCUCAUUAGUCAGUUUGAUUGCAUUAUCCCUUAUCAAAUGUUUGAAAGUUAAUAUUUUGUUUUUAAAUAGCAAAGUUGUCAAAUAGUACUAUUAAGUCUCGUUUGAUACGGAUGAUUAGACUGAACUAGCCUAGGUUAACUAAAUAACUACAUUUUAUGUGCAAUUUUCGGUGGGAUUAAAAAGGACAACCUCUCAUGAAUAGUCCAUUCUAAUCCUACAAAUUAAAAUUAGAAGAUAAUAUUCAUAUUCUUUUUUACUUGCAAAUGAAACUUAAUCAUUUAACUAAUUCAGUCUAAUCCUCCAUAUCUUUUUACUUGCAAAUGAAACUUAAUCAUUUAACUAAUCCAGUCUAAUCUUCCAUAUCAAACGUGAUGAUUGAUCUUUUUCCGUUGAAGGCACUCAAAAUCAUUUAUGAUUAUUUAAUUGAAAAGUAAAUACGUACAAAGUUUUUCUCUACCAAGUGAUGUGCAUCAUGCAUGACGCUAGAAUUUUUCCUCUCUCAUGUGAAUGAAACCGUCCCCAUCAGUUGCGAAAUUUGAAUUGAACACGUAGGGCCUGAUGCUAUCAACUUGCAAGAAACGUCUCUGAUCGUUGAAAGAAUAUUAUAGCAAAUGACUAAAAUGCCAACCUGUGGAAUAUUCACGUCCAAAAAAUAUUUUUAUUUUUAUUUAUAAUUAAAAAAAACCAGUGCAAUUUGAAAUAUGAUAAAUCACUUGACACAUGAGCUUUGAAAAUGGAACCCAGCAGUGCAUUAUAAAAUUUAAGUUAUGACAACACCACGUGACAUCCUAUAAAUCCAAUUAAUUAAUUAUAACCUUAAAUUCUAAAACUUAAAUCUAACGUAUGCUAUAUUAUAUUUAAUUUAUUACAAAUUGAAUAAAUUUAUAACAUCACCGUCACAAUAAGUUGGUGAGAUAAGUCAGUCAGUCGCUGUAGUCGUUGCAAUAUUGAAUGGGACACAAGAAGAAGACUGCUAGCAAAUAAACUUAGUCCAUAACAGUAGUGAUGAAAGGAUAGGGUAUGAUGUGAAAUGUCGUCCUUGUGGGGAUUCUCCUUCCUAUCUUUUUCAAAGUGACCGAAAAGCAUUCAAUUAUGAACAAAGACUUGGUGUUCCACACAAGAUCCCAAGUGACCAGAGGACAUUUUUGAAAAGCACUUCCCAGAUCAUCCACUACCUCAGUCUUGAUAAAAGUUCAUAUGGAUAUAAAAAGAAAAAGUGGUGCAAAUGUUCUAAAGGAAAAUACUUGCGGUUUGAUAAUUAUUUUAAUUUUUGUGCGAGAUUAUAGAGGAAAAUGAGAGUGGGAAUGAGAGUGAGGAAGAUAUUGAGAGAGAGGAUGAGAAGAGAGGAAGGGAGAGAUACAAAAGUGAAAACAAUUUCAAAUAGAUUUCAGGUUUUUGUUUUCGUUACUCAUCCCUCUCAUCCUCCUCUCUCAUCUUCUCUCUCAAUCGCACAUCUCAUAUUCACUCUCGUUCUCACUUUCACUCUCCCUCUUUUGGUUAACUUAAUUUUUGUGUAUUAGGAGAUUAGAACAAUAUUUGGGUUCGAAUAAUAGGAUAUCAAACCCAAUAUCACAAAGUGGGCCCUUUGAUGGCUUGGGUUGGGAAAGGGAGGCUUUUUUCCGAUGGUUGAGAUGAGAUCUAAUAAGCUGGGCGGUUGGCGUCGAAGAUGAUUUAAGAUUAUUCUUCAAGUUCAGAGAACUUUGCAAGUUAUUGAAUAUAAUUGUUUAUACAACUUAGAAGGCCACAGUCAUACAUUUAUGAUUUAUAUAUGUACUUAGAUAAGUACACACGCACAUAUAUUUGAAUUUUCCUUUUUAUAUUAUUUUAUAUUAGGUAUAGUGCAAAAUAAUACCUACUAGUGUAACGAUUUGGAGCAAAUGUUUUUCCUAGAAAAAGUCACGAGUUUAAGCUCUAGUAUCCAUGUAGUGUGUGUGGUGUGUGUGAAUUUAGUAUGUUAUCGUCCCUCUUCAUAGGAAAUGUCCACACACAAAAAAAAAAGCAGGUAAUUUUUUUUUUCUGUGGAAAAAAUAGGUACAUUAUUCAGAACAAAUAGGUGCGUUGUAUUCUAAGAGAAAAACAGGUACAUUAUUCAUAUAGGUUUAUUGUACCUAUAGGUUUAGUAUUUUACCCAAAAGGCUUGGCAAUUUUUAUAUUAUAAUCAUUUACCUAAUAGGCUUGGCAAAUUUACAGGUUUAGAAAUCAGAUAACUAAUUUGUUGGAAUCAAGAGAUCCCAAAUAUAAGUGCAAAGGAUAAAGAUAUGCUUAUAUAAAUUAGGUAAUUUAUGCUUAUAAUUUAUACAUAAAGAAAAAAUCCUUAUAAUAACCAAAUGAUAAAAUCAUUGAAUCCGAUAUGGAAAAGCCAGAGAAAGUCCUACACAUGUAUGAAAUGUAAAUGUAGAUACCCAGAUGAAGGAAAUUUGGAUAGAUUGAAGAAGGAUUUGGAUCUGCAUGAAGCACAAGAAGAUAAAGACUUUUAAGAGGGAGGAGGAGAAGAAGUCUUAUAAGGAUUGAAACAAGCUCCUAGAGCUUGGAAUGCAAAAUUUACUAGUUGUUUGUCUGUCAUUGGAUUUCAUUCUUCCCAUUCCGAUCGUAGUUUGUUUGUGAAACAUGUCGACUCAGAAAUUUUAAUUCUCUUGUUGUAUGUUGAUGAUUUAAGCUCUGUUUUCGAAAUGAAGGACAUGGAUAAACUUACAUAUUUUCUCGGCUUGCAAGUGUCUUAUACUUCUGCUGGUUAUAUAUUUGUAAAUCAAUCUAAAUAUGUAAAAGAUUUGUUGCACAAAGCUGGUAUGAGUUCUUGUUGACUUGUUCUACUCCUUGCAAACCUUACACUCAGGUUUUGAAAGAUGUUGCUGAAGAUGAUCCCAACUUUAGAAGUAUUGUAACCAAGAAGUGAGAAACCUCAAACUAAUCUGGAAGUUUUUGCGAUCCUCUGCGACAGAAGUAGUAUUUAAAAAACAUAUUCCCUACUUGAAAUGUGUCAGCAGUUCUACAUGCUACACGGUUUCUUACGUGAAUUUCGAAAAUGUGAAAAUAUGCAAGGAAUUUGGCCUCCCUUUGUUGUCCAUGCGAUGAUGAUACUGUGUGACAUGAAUUCGCUUAAUUAAUUUAAAUUUAAAUUCUGACAUUGAAACUUAACAUGUGCUGUAUUAUAAUUUGAAUGAAUUAUUUGUAGCCCCAUAUGUCAUGUACCACACAGUAAGUGAGUCACGACGUUGUUGUUGAGAUAUUGAAUGAUACAAAUGCAGAUAUGUCGGUCAUUGAAUAGUUGUUGAAAUAUUGAAUGGGACAAGAGGGAGGCUGUUGAUGAAGAACCUGUCUGCUAGCUAAUUAAGAUAAAUUUUUAUUUUAUUUUCACUUCAUUGGAUUCUUUGUAAGAGAAUUGCUUGGGAACAACAAUUAGAUGCUAUAUCUCAUGGAGAAAAACCCCAAGUAACAUUUAAUUUCUAUAAAUAAAUUUAAAAAAACUUUAAAAAAUAAUAGUUGGUCUUAUUAAAUUUAAUUUUGAUUAUUAAAUUACUUUGAUGCUCUUGUGAGUGUUUUGGGAUUUUUUAUUUUGAGGAUUUGGGAUUGGGUUUGUUUUAAAAAAUCGAUGACAGUUUUGUAAUUUAUAAGAAUUUUGAAGCUUCUUUGUUAUAUUGUAAAUGAGCUUUUGGUGUGCUUCUAAAGUCCAUUUCAUAUAUGGUUUUUUUAGAAUGAAUUUGAUACUGAAUCGAACAUGGGCAGGGGGCAGUUAUAAAUUAUAAUUUCAUUGAACACUUUGCUUGCUUUCUUAUAGAUAAGGAGAUCAUUUAUCCCUAACUAUUACUUAUAAUCCAAUACAUAUACAUAAUUAACAUAUUAAAAGCACAUACCAAAAAAGUACUUACAACAUAUUGCGAUACAUGACAGUGCAAAGAUCAUUUUCUAAGUUUUUCCUUUAGUUAAACACUCUGUAUUGACAUGUGCAGUGCACAAUUUCAUUUUAAAUCACUACUACUAAACAGGUCUUAGAUCGAUGGAACAUUUACCGUACGACUAUUCUACUUUCCUAGUAGUAGAUAUAGAGUCUUUGAAAACAGACCUACCCUCAACUACUGUAGCUUCCCUUAGGCAUAAAAUGAUUUUGCAGGACGAAAACAUACAAGGGAUAAAACAAAUGAAGAAAAGAAACAUACAUAAAACAAAUGAAGAAAAGAUACCAAUAGAAAUUACAAUAAUGGAAAACCACCAACCUUCCUUAGAGGCUAUGGUCGUAUUAUUAAGUACACCAAGAUUUUCAGGCAAAUUAUUCUAAUUCAAGAAGGAAGCAAUCUUUUUCUUCAUGGCCACAGCAUUCUCACAACUGGGAUUCCGCAAAUGGAACACAUGUUCCUCCCCCUUUGCUUCUAUGACCUCCACAACCCCUUUCCAUCCACUCUUCUUCAGUACCUCACUAUAAUGCCACCCCCUAUCUUUGAAAACAUCUUUCUCAGCAACACAAACCAGUACUUUCUCACAACCCAAUUCCCCCAACUUCGGAUCCUUUCCCGGGUUGAAAAGCGGGUCAUCGGAUCCGAUACUCAAAGGGCAAGUGAAACGCCACAAUGCAGCUAUAUACUCUCUUUUAGCUGCAGGGAUAGUU
rnacentral:lncRNA from 1 species